rnacentral:rRNA from 1 species
CUUUUGGAGAGUUUGAUCCUGGCUCAGGACGAACGCUGGCGGCGUGCCUAAUACAUGCAAGUCGAGCGGACCGA